ACUUAAAACUUGUUGCUCGAAAUUGGAAAAGCCAAGGAGACCGUGGUGCUGAAAUACGUGGGCCACUGUAUCCAGGCCUGGUAUUUAAGAAAAAAAUGAUAAGCAGUUUGCACUGAGAAGUAGUCGAACGGCUUCACCGUUGGAAGUCUGGACACAAGACUAACAGAGAAGACAUUUAAAAAAGCUCUGCAGGAGGGCCGAAGUUAAAAUUCGCGUUCAUUGACGGAUCAGCGUUGAAGCUCCAGAGAGCAUGCAAGAGUCCAAACUUUUCGUGCGUAGGCUUCAAGAACUAGAUGAAAGGUUUGUAAACACAAUCAUUAGAAAGAAUGAAAUUUUUUACAUGCCUUUCAGAUGCUCACCCAUGUGAAGAAUUAUACGAAAACUCUUUCUUUCUACAGGCUGCCUGUGUUACAAUAGCAGUUCUGAUACAAUAUUUCUUGAUGGCCGCUUUCCAUUGGAUGCUGAUUGAGGGAAUUGAUCUCUACUUCUUCGUUGUGAAAGUUUACAACAUCAACACCAAAAUGUACAUGUAUCACGUCAUCUCAUGGGCUGCUGACUUUCCUCGAUUAACAACCUCAUUUGGAUAUUCGUCGCCUAUGUAGCUUUCAUUGAGUUUAUGAUUAGUGUUGGUGAUUGUGAUUGGUAUACCUGUACUAAUUGCUGCCAAAUAUUUUGUCUCUGCUCUUUAAAAGCGAGUUAAGUAUUUAUGAAAUGACCCCGCACAACAUUUACCAUUUUUCUUUUCCUAUUUACUCACAAAAAACUUUGGACGUAGCCGCUGUUUGCGGGGAUGCUGGUCAAUUUUUACCUAUUGAUGUCUUCACAGGCAUAGGAUAGCUUCAUAAAUUCUCCAACUUUUGCUACAUAGUAUAAAAAAAAUAUUCUGCUUCCUUGUUGAUUUUUUCUCACUGUUUCACAUUGAUAUUUUGUCGCGCAAAAAUAAUAAAAAAAAAACAUUGAGCAAGAUGAAAGGAGCAGGAAGAUAUGGAGAUAUUAGGUUUAUAUAAUUUAACAUAAGGAUUCACUUUGCAUAGUUCACUCGGUUUAGACACUUAAGUUCGAGAUUCUUUAGCUCUUUGUCAGAGAAUCGAAGCUCAUAAUCUAGGUCCCCAAGUUUGGAGUUCUAUUCCCUGCAAAUGACUCUUCAUCCAACACUUGUUACCAAACUAGUAACGUCUUCGGCAUGGAUCCUCUCCUGUUUUGGCUAUUCGAUAACCAUAUCUAAAUAAUCAAUUUAUUUCUAUUACAUUCUUCAGCUCAACAUCUUGAUACUCGUUCGAGUCAUAAAGGAGAUGACCAAUUUGUCGCAGCCAACAGGGGAAGACGACCACUCUCAAAAAAUAAAAAACUAAAACAAAAAAGUGGAAGAGGUUGCCAUAUUCUCCUGUGAGGCUUUUCAAAAAAAUAUACCGAGAGAGAGCUACUAUGGAAGAUUGUUAAUCUCGAGUUAGAUUAGAGACAACUAUGAUAUUGUGUCAGUGGUGAGCUAAGAAGUAUUUUGUGGUGGGCCUCAAUCAGUUUUUUUAAGGAUAAUUAUUCUACUUCCUUUAAGAGUCUCUCCUUGGUAAGGAUAUAACAAGUUGUUUAAUAAAUUAGUUGGGUUUGUUUGUAGA